AACGAACGCUGGCGGCAGGCUUAACACAUGCAAGUCGAACGAGAUCUUCGGAUCUAGUGGCAGACGGGUGAGGAACACGUGGGAACAUCCCUUUCAGUUCGGAAUAACGUUGGGAAACUAACGCUAAUACCGGAUACGUCCUUCGGGAGAAAGAUUUAUCGCUGAAGGAUUGGCCCGCGUCUGAUUAGCUAGUUGGUGAGGUAAUGGCUCACCAAGGCUACGAUCAGUAGCUGAUCUGAGAGGAUGAUCAGCCACAUUGGGACUGAGACACGGCCCAAACUCCUACGGGAGGCAGCAGUGGGGAAUAUUGGACAAUGGGGGCAACCCUGACCCAGCGACGCCGCGUGAGGGACGAAGUCCUUCGGGAUGUAAACCUCUGUUGUGGGGGAAGAAGCGAGUGACGGUACCUCACGAGGAAGCCCCGGCAAACUACGUGCCAGCCGCCGCAGUAA
rnacentral:rRNA from 1 species